AUUGAACGCUAGCGGGAUGCUUUACACAUGCAAGUCGAACGGCAGCGCGGACUUCGGUCUGGCGGCGAGUGGCGAACGGGUGAGUAAUGUAUCGGAACGUGCCCAGUAGCGGGGGAUAACUACGCGAAAGCGUAGCUAAUACCGCAUACGCCCUACGGGGGAAAGCAGGGGAUCGUAAGACCUUGCACUAUUGGAGCGGCCGAUAUCGGAUUAGCUAGUUGGUGAGGUAACGGCUCACCAAGGCGACGAUCCGUAGCUGGUUUGAGAGGACGACCAGCCACACUGGGACUGAGACACGGCCCAGACUCCUACGGGAGGCAGCAGUGGGGAAUUUUGGACAAUGGGGGCAACCCUGAUCCAGCCAUCCCGGGUGUGCGAUGAAGGCCUUCGGGUUGUAAAGCACUUUUGGCAGGAAAGAAACGUCGCGGGCUAAUACCCCGUGGAACUGACGGUACCUGCAGAAUAAGCACCGGCUAACUACGUG
rnacentral:rRNA from 1 species